GACGAACCGUGCGAACGUUGUUCGGAAUCACUGGGCUUAAAGGGCGCGUAGGCGGGCCUCCAAGUCCGGGGUGAAAUCCUCCAGCCUAACUGGAGAAGAGCCUCAGAGACUGGGGGCCUCGAGGAGGGUAGGGGCAAGCGGAACUAUGGGUGGAGCGGUGAAAUGCAUUGAUAUCCAUAGGAACUCCGGUGGCGAAGGCGGCUUGCUGGACCCUUUCUGACGCUGAGGCGCGAAAGCCAGGGGAGCAAACGGG
rnacentral:rRNA from 1 species